rnacentral:rRNA from 1 species
UACGGAGGGUGCGAGCGUUAAUCGGAAUUACUGGGCGUAAAGGGUGUGUAGGUGGUUUAUUAAGUUAACUGUGAAAGUCCUGGGCUCAACCUGGGGGAGGUCAGUUAAGACUAUUAGACUUGAGUAUAGGAGAGGGUAGUGGAAUUUCCGGUGUAGCGGUGAAAUGCGUAGAGAUCGGAAGGAACACCAGUGGCGAAGGCGGCUACCUGGCCUAAUACUGACACUGAGACACGAAAAGCGUGGGGGAGCAAACAGG